rnacentral:lncRNA from 1 species
UCGUCAUCGUCAGGAUCACGUAUCACGAGCUGCUCACCGCACCAAAUGAUAAGACUCUCGAUACUGUAAUUCGUAUUUCUUCCUCAACGUAACAACACUCUUAGUUUGCGAAGUACAAACUAAGCCCAAAUCUCAAAAGCUAAAGCUUAAGAGCCCAAAGUAUUACCCAGUUAUUAGCCCAAUGAAUACAGAGGCCCAAGACUAUUAUUUAUACAACUCCCGGACUCUAACUGCUCAACGACUUUCUCCCAAAGUUUGUUACGAUAAGUUCUUCUGCUGAUCAACCUCCUCUUGAUCUGCCACUCCACUGUUCUUCCCUUCCCUUAUCCUCUUGCGAUAAUAAACCCUCCAGCUCUUAUCAAUUUUAUUGUCUACUUUGUAGUUGUUUUGAACUUAUACAAAGUAAUGUCUAUGUAUGCUUGUACGAACUCAAAGAUCAAUAAGAAUCACUCUCUUAUUAGUUUAAGAAACUUACUC